GCUGAUGACCCUAAUCCAGUCUUUGCAACUUCAGGCUUGCGAGUUUCUCCAGUUGAUUCUUCUGCAUUGAAAGUGAUCGAAGCAAAAGGCGGAAGGGAAGCCAAUGACUCAGGUGUAAGAGGGAGCCCAUGUGCUUCAAUCUGAUUCCGAUACGAAUAGAACUCAUUGCAACCCAAGAUAGUUAUGUCAAGACCCUGCAGAAGUAGUGUCUGCAAUCUGUCCUUCUUAUCUUUGUCAAGUCUUUCAUGGGCUGCUGCAACAGCAUACUG
rnacentral:misc_RNA from 1 species